rnacentral:tRNA from 1 species
UUUGGUAUAGCUCAGCAGCACAGCAACUGCCUGGUAAGCAAAAGGUCCUGAGUGGGAUUCCUGGUACCAAAA